UACGAAGGGGGCUAGCGUUGCUCGGAAUUACUGGGCGUAAAGAGCUCGUAGGCGGUUAGUCGCGUCUGCUGUGAAAACUCGGGGCUUAACUCCGGGCAUGCAGUGGGUACGGGCUGACUAGAGUGCGGUAGGGGAGACUGGAAUUCCUGGUGUAGCGGUGAAAUGCGCAGAUAUCGGGAGGAGCACCGGUGGCGAAGGCGGUUCUCUGGGCCUGUACUGACGCUGAGGAGCGAAAGCGUGGGGAGCGAACAGG
rnacentral:rRNA from 1 species